rnacentral:rRNA from 1 species
AUUGAACGCUGGCGGCAUGCUUUACACAUGCAAGUCGGACGGCAGCACAGAGAAGCUUGCUUCUUGGGUGGCGAGUGGCGAACGGGUGAGUAACAUAUCGGAACGUACCGAGUAGUGGGGGAUAACUGAUCGAAAGAUCAGCUAAUACCGCAUACGUCUUGAGAGGGAAAGCAGGGGACCUUCGGGCCUUGCGCUAUUCGAGCGGCCGAUAUCUGAUUAGCUAGUUGGUGGGGUAAAGGCCUACCAAGGCGACGAUCAGUAGCGGGUCUGAGAGGAUGAUCCGCCACACUGGGACUGAGACACGGCCCAGACUCCUACGGGAGGCAGCAGUGGGGAAUUUUGGACAAUGGGCGCAAGCCUGAUCCAGCCAUGCCGCGUGUCUGAAGAAGGCCUUCGGGUUGUAAAGGACUUUUGUCAGGGAAGAAAAGGCUGUUGCUAAUAUCAGCGGCUGAUGACGGUACCUGAAGAAUAAGCACCGGCUAACUACGUGCCAGCAGCCGCGGUAAUACGUAGGGUGCGAGCGUUAAUCGGAAUUACUGGGCGUAAAGCGAGCGCAGACGGUUACUUAAGCAGGAUGUGAAAUCCCCGGGCUCAACCCGGGAACUGCGUUCUGAACUGGGUGACUAGAGUGUGUCAGAGGGAGGUAGAAUUCCACGUGUAGCAGUGAAAUGCGUAGAGAUGUGGAGGAAUACCGAUGGCGAAGGCAGCCUCCUGGGAUAACACUGACGUUCAUGCUCGAAAGCGUGGGUAGCAAACAGG